rnacentral:lncRNA from 1 species
UAGGAUUAAGUAUGCGGAGUGAAUGAAAUUUUUUGGAUUAAUCUAACAAGACAGUUAAUGGAUACAAGGUCGUGAGUAUAAAGUGGUAUUGGAGAUUAGCAGAUUGGAUUGUUCGGGGUUCUCUGUAACGUCUAGAGACCUACCGGCUGGGGCAAAAAGGAUUUUGGCGAGCAAUCGAAGGACAUUCGUAUAAAUUUAUAGUAUAUUCUUGUAAUCAUUUAUAUUCCAACAGUCAAAAACCGAUAGACUGCUUGAAUAUUAGCAAAUCUCCAUAUUAUCUUCUACAGCCAGACAUCCGAUGCGUUCUCAAGCAGGAAAGCACGUAAUACGACAUAAGUGGUGAACCCGACGUGAAAGCUUGAGGUAGAAGGUAUUGAAUUUUGUUUGAUUUUAUUUUUAUUUUUAUGGAGAACGAAAAUAAAAAUUUUGAAGGAUCUUUGGGAGGAGUUUCUGGUGGGGAUUCUUCUAAAGGAUAAGGUAUGUACCUGGAUCCAUCUAUUACUAGUAUGUUUCAAGCCUUCUUACUAUCAAUGCAGCAACAGCAAAGCAAUGAUCGAAAGGAAGCUUUGGCAACCAAAGCAUUGGAAGCAGUGGUCAAUAAAAUUGAUCAAUUUGAUGGAAGGAAUAUUUCAAGGUAUUUAAGAUGUUAUGUUCGUGAAAUAGAAUUAAAUCAGGUUUUUGAGAAGAAAAUGAUUGAAUUAUUUAAACUUGCCAUGAUACCAGAGAUAAGAGACCAUAUUACAUCGAUUACGGAUCGUUAUGGGAAUUCAUGGGAGGUUUUUUUAUAUGCAUUGAAAGACAAAUAUUUCUUGAAAGAUGCUGAUCGCAUUACUAAGAAGCUGUUUCUAGAAUGGAUUGAACGGCCUAAUAAGAAUUUGCAAGCAACAGAGCUAUUAAGGGAAUUUGAGAGGUAAUACUCUCAAUUAUCGAAGGUAGAAAAAUUGACAUUGGAGCCAAACAAAGUUGAUCUAUUUCUUCUAGCUGCUGAUGGAGAAUUGUAAGGGAAAUUAGAACUCCUUCUUGAAGACAAAGAAGAAGAUGAAGGAUUGACAACAAAAUGGAAGAACGUUGAAGAUGCGGUGGGAUUGCUUGCAAAAAGAGAAAGGAGGAAGGAUAGGAGUAAUAUUCCGAAAACAGUACAAGCAUCCAAAGUUCCAGUACGUACAACACCACCAACAAUGCCUACAGUUCAAUUUUCGACAUCCUUAUCAAAAAAGCAGAUAUGGAGAUGGAAGAAAUUAUACGAGGAAUGCGAGAUCUUUAAAUCAAAUUGGUAAGACUUGAAGAGAAUACUUCUACAAACACUUUGAAGAAUGUUUCAAAACAAGGAUAUGUACAAAGAUGCAUUUGGUGUGAUGAUGCUUCACACACUAGGAAAGAUUGCAAUGAAUUUAACAAUAUGAUACGGCAAGGAAUUAUUUGCUGGAAAGAUGGGAAGAUAGCAUUAAAAGAUAGGGAGGAUCUUCUUCAAACCAAUUUUGGCAAGGGAGGAAUGAGAGCAUUGGUUCAAGAUUACUUAAAAGAGCAUGAAACAGCAGCACGAGAAAGUGCAAGUUAUGGUGCUAGAGUAGAUGAUGACCUUCGUGGAAGUACGGAAACUAGUGAGUUUUGGACUUCUGCCAUUUCUACAAUGCAAGAAGGGAAAUUACCUUGAGAAGCGUUAUUGAGGACUGCAGCUAUAAUAUGAGGUGCAACAGGUUGGGAUGAUCUUGUUGAGUCUCUUUCAGUUCAUGCAUAUAUUGCUAAGAGCCAACAUGAAGCUUUGAUGGAAGAAAAGAGACGAGGAAAUUUUGAUGAUAUGAAAGAAAGAUUUUCUUCUAAGAGGUAAACUCGAGGAGACAAGGCUCGAGAGGCAGCUUCACAAGAAUUACUUGUAAAGGAUAUCUCAGCAUCAUUGGAAGAAAAAACAAGGGAGACAAAAGAUAAGGACAAAUCAAUUGCUUGUAAGCUACUUUCUGACAUUGAAGAGGCAACAAAUUUGAAAGGGGUGUUGGAAGAACGUAUAUUAAACGCUAAGGUGGAAUUCACAUUGAAAGAAGUUUUGGGAAUUGCAAAGGAGUUUCAUGAUGUUAUCAUUGACAGCAUUAAGCAAAAGAGACAAUUAAUGGGCAAAACUGGAAUGAAUCAUGCUAUUGAUGCAAGAAUAUAUGAAGAUGAAGAAGAGGUUGAUAUUUGUUACAAGCAACCAACAAAUGAAAAGAAUGGGUAUAAUCAACGAGUACAUUUCAAAGAUUAUAGUGAUAAGGAAAUGGAAACUUUGAGCCAUUAUACUUGAAAGCAUUGGACAAGGGCAACUACUGAGGUAUUGGUGAAAGUAGGAGAUAUAGAAGAACCAAUUGUUGCUUUAGUUGACCAUGGUUCUGAAAUAAAUCUCAUGUCUAAAGAUCUUUAUAAGAAGCAAAAAUGGCCAAUUGAUAUGGAACAUGGAUGGGCAAUACGAGCAGCUAAUAAUACGCGGGGUGAAUUAUAUAGAGCUUGUCCAGAUGUCAAAAUUUGGAUUGGGGAUGUUGCGACGGAGCAACAUUUCUUUGUUCAAGAUACAACGUCUUAUCCGUUGAUUUUAGGACAACUUUAUAUCACGGCAACACGGAUGGAAAUAAAAGUACUUGACGAUGGUUCUGCUUAUGCAAGGGUACGUAGCGAAGAUGGGAGGAAAGUUGUACAAUUUCUAACAGUACCUCCUAACCAUGAACGGAAUAGAGAUAGGUUGAGGGAGAAACCAUUGCCAAAGAUUGUUGAAGGAUUUAAGGAUUUUCGGGAGGUACCACUAUAAAGCGAGAUUAUGGAGGUACAAAAGAGGAGGUACUCUCGCGAGAUGAAGGUGCCUUUGAUGCGAGUUUUAUUGAUAUUUUGGAGAAUGGAAAUAUUAUGUAUAACAAAGUUGAUGAUUUGAAAAGAAAAGAAAGAAAAAGAUUAUAUAAUAUUGAAGGAGAAUUACGCAAAUUAGGUACAUUGCAAGAUGAUGAGAGGAUUUUAGGUGUUUAUGAAGAAAAUGGACUGGAAGAUUCAUUGGAAUUGAUUACAUCUAUUGGGUUAGGGGAUAAUGAUAAGAUUGUUGAGAUUCAUUCAAGAGAGGUUUAUACCAUACUUAAAUCUUUUUAAGCGCCAGAAGUCACUACAGAUCAUGGAGAAUUAAAUGUACAAGAAGCUCGUAAGUUCUUUGAAAGAUGUGGAGUUAAACUAUCACUGACUACUGCUUAUAAUUCGGAAGGGAAUGCAAAAAGCGAACGUGGUCACCCACCGAUUGUGAAAGUAUUAGUUAAAGCUUGUAAUGGGAAAGUUAGAGAGUCGCCACGGCUUUUGUCAUUUGUAUUAUGGACUGAUCGAACAACACAUAGUUCAGUGACAAGAUAUAUGCCAGUAGAACUUAUGACAGGUCACAAAUCAAUUAUGCCGAUUGAUGAAAAGGAACUUACUUGGAGUAUGCUACCAUGGGAAGAUGGAUUGACAAGAGAAGAACUUCUGGCUAUUAGGAUUCGACAAUUGGAGCAAAGAUCGGAAGAUGUACAAAUAGCAUUAGAAAGGUUAAAAAGAGCAAGGUUACAAAAUAAGGCGCGAUUCGAUAAGCAACAUCGAUUGAUACCUAAAGCAAUUGAAGAAGGUGAUUGAGUACUUAUUUAUAAUAGUAGUCUAGACAACCAAUAUAGCACUUUAUGAAAGUUUUCAAAAGGUUGGUUUGGACCGUAUGUGGUAACAACUGUUCAUGAUAAUGCGACUUACUCAUUACGGGAGUUAGAUGGUACAAAAUUGAAAAUACCAAUUGCAGGGAAGCGAGUAAAAAUAUUUAAACAAAGACACGCGGAGAUGAAUAUGGAAGACUUUAAUGAAGGUAUAGAGAUUCCGCAGCAAGAAGAUGAAAGUGAUUUGGAUAAUGAAGGUGACGAAGAUGAACUAGACAAAGACAUAGAGAAUAUAUUAUAAAUCAAACAACAAUUGGAUAAAUUGGUGCAUACUGGAGGAUGCACAGGUUCAGAAGGAGUGGAUGUCGUGUUAUAACACGAAUAUACUGUGAAAAUAUAAAAAAAAGGGAUUUUUAUUAAUGUUCAGUUACCUCGAAUAUUGGGAGCAAUGACCAAUUCCAAAGCCAAUAUUCAAGGGCCAGUUUCAGACAUCCCGUCAUAGUCGGUCAGGGCAUACUUACCAAUAAUGAAAUGCUCCGUUCGAUUCCAAUAACGAGAGUCAGCAGAAAGAGAAAAGACUAAUUCAACGACGGGUGAACCUGGUUCGAAGAGCCAAUUGGAUCCAAUUUCAAGACAUCCAAUCCAGGUCCUAUUACGGGCCUCUUACCCAAUAUGAGACCUGACUUGGUCGAGCAACCCAAUGCGGUCCAAAUACGGAGCUUCGAUUUUGUUUCAGGCUGUUCCGUUCUUUGUGCCAUUCCGAGAACAUCCUUUUGGUAAAAGGAUCUCUUAAAGGUAAAAAUGGGGGAGAAAGCUCCAUCGGCUGUUCCAUUUCGGGGAGUCCAAGGCAGAAGAAUAGGAUCUUCUCAGGGUUAAAAGAGGAGGAUAGGUUAAGAAAUAAAAGAAGGGAGAAUUAGGGUUUUAAGGGGAGAGAGCUAGCUUCAUGCUUUGGGUGGAGAAAAGGCAGAGAAUUGGGGUUUUUUUUUUUUUUUUCAUAGGAUUUUGGAAAGACUGAGACAAUCAUUGCUGAAAGUCAGUGUUAUAUUGGUGAACUAGAUUUUUUUUUUUUGAAAGAGAGAAAAAAAACAUUCAGAAAUGGUUAGGGUGGAGGAGAGGAUUUAGAGAUUCGAGAAUUAGAGAGGUUAAGAAAAAAGGAGGAUACAAGGUUUUUAGGUAGGAGUCAGAAAAGGAACUUCUGACGAUCAAUGCUGAAAGGUCGAUGUAUUGUACUAGUGAAUCGGGAUUUUAAUGAAGUGGGUGUGAUUACUCUUGACUGUUUUAUGAAAUUGAAGUUAUAUCUGUGAUUGAAGAAUUAAAAGGGUGUCUAUAGGAUUAAGUAUGCGGAGUGAAUGAAAUUUUUUGGAUUAAUCUAACAAGACAGUUAAUGGAUACAAGGUCGUGAGUACAAAGUAGUAUUGGAGAUUAGCAGAUUGGGUUGUUCGGGGUUCUCUGUAACGUCUAGAGACCUACCGGCUGGGGCAAAAAGGAUUUUGGCGAGCAAUCGAAGGACAUUCGUAUAGAUUUAUAGUAUAUUCUUGUAAUCAUUUAUAUUCCAACAGUCAAAAACCGAUAGACUGCUUGAAUAUUAGCAAAUCUCCAUAUUACCUUCUACA